ACAAACAACUGGCAGAAAGGCAGACUGUUUUUCAACGUGAACUUGCUUGAAUGUGUGAGCGUUUAAAGAAUAAAGAAUAAAAAAUAAUGUUCAAAUGGAAUAUUAACCAUAUCAUUCUUAAGAGUUUGAGGACUGUAAAAAACAAGGGUACUGCUUUUCCAUCUUCUAUCGGUUAUGUGGUUAAGAAGUUUGCUUUCAAAAUGUGUAGUCUUGGUUUCAGUCCCACUGUGCGUCACCUUGGGAAUGGUAUCUUCUACUGUAGCCCCAGGUUGACCAAAGCCUUGUGAGUGGACAUGGUGGACAGGAAAUGAAAGAAGCUUGUCACCUGUGUGUAGACACGGAGGAAGGCUGAAAAAAAAACAAAAAAAACAGCAGGCUUGAUUUGAACAGAGCAGUGAGGCACUACAUUAGAUCCUCGAGUUCGGCCGUAUACACUACCACCACCUCCACCACUACUACUACUAUUAGAAAACAACAAUACCAUCUCCGUUAAUAAUGUAGUCACAACAACGACAGCAAUUUAAUUUCUUAUAUUGACAUGUUUUUUUUUUAGUUUUAAGGGGGCGGGUGGAGUUGAAAAAUAAAAUAAGAUGACAUUCA